rnacentral:rRNA from 1 species
UACGUAGGCAGCGAGCGUUGUUCGGAAUUACUGGGCGUAAAGAGUGUGUAGGCGGUGUUCCCAGUCUGUUGUGAAAUCUCCCGGCUUAACUGGGAGGGUGCAGCGGAAACUAGAAUGCUAGAGGGUGGGAGAGGUAAGCGGAAUUCCUGGUGUAGCGGUGAAAUGCGUAGAUAUCAGGAGGAACACCGGUGGCGAAGGCGGCGACCUGGUCCUUGACUGACGCUGAGGCGCGAAAGCGUGGGGAGCAAACAGG